AGCAUGAGAGUCCAAAGGGAAAGCCUAGGAGAGCUUUAUAAGAAGAAUAACUUUUCUAUUAUUUUAGAUUGUACAAAUAGGCUGGCUGGGUGAGAUUCACAGAAACAUCUUCUGUUCUUGGGGAGGACAAGUCCCUCCUUUUAUACCAGCACAGAGACUUCCUUGGCUCCCAAGCUGUUGUCCUUCCAUGAUGUGGCUCUAUGGUCUGUUUUUGGCAUCUCUUGCUACUUGUAUGUGUCGGGGUGCUCCCAAGAUCCAGCAGUAGGGCAGAUGGAGUCAGACUUCGCGAAAAUCAAAGAACACACUCUCAUAUAUUCUGAAGACUGUCUGUACCUAAAUAUUUAUACUCCUGCUGACUUGACUAGGAAAACUAGGCUGCCGGUGCUGGUGUGGAUCCAUGGAGGUGGUCUG